rnacentral:rRNA from 1 species
CUACGGGGCGCUGCAGUGGGGAAUAUUGCACAAUGGGCGCAAGCCUGAUGCAGCCAUGCCGCGUGUAUGAAGAAGGCCUUCGGGUUGUAAAGUACUUUCAGCGGGGAGGAAGGGAGUAAAGUUAAUACCUUUGCUCAUUGACGUUACCCGCAGAAGAAGCACCGGCUAACUCCGUGCCAGCAGCCGCGGUAAUACGGAGGGUGCAAGCGUUAAUCGGAAUGACUGGGCGUAAAGCGCGCGCAGGCGGUUUGUUAAGUCAGAUGUGAAAUCCCCGGGCUCAACCUGGGAACUGCAUCUGAUACUGGCAAGCUUGAGUCUCGUAGAGGGGGGUAGAAUUCCAGGUGUAGCGGUGAAAUGCGCAGAGAUCUGGAGGAAUACCGGUGGCGAAGGCGGCCCCCUGGACGAAGACUGACGCUCAGGUGCGAAAGCGUGGGGAGCAAACAGGAUUAGAUACCCCCGUAGUC